GCCGUACUAGAGAAAUGGUUAACUCGUCGGUCUCCUAAUUAUAUAAAACAAAUAUAAUCAUAACCGAAGAUUCCCGGUUCGAGUCCGGGGUGCGGUG